CCUAUUUUAAGAGGUUCAAAAGUCACAUUCUCUUUCAAACUGUUCAGUUUUGUUUUUGAGUGGCGGGCGUGACAGCCAAUCAGAGAGCUGCACUGUGACGUCAGUGGCUGUUCUCUCCAAAAUCGCUUUAUUUUGUGUGUUAAUAUACAUGUUUCUCAUAUAUUAUGCAAAAGCUAGUGAGAAAUAAACACUUCUAAAACUGAAAACACUUUUUGGAACCUAAUAACACCUCUGAACUUAUUUACAAGACAUUUCACGGACGUUAGCAUGGUGACUUCACAGGCUAGUAGCUAGCUACAAAACUCUGUUUUGUUUGUGUGUAAAUAUAUCUUCUUUGUCAAAAGCUAGGUAAAAGCUAGCGAG